GUCGAGAAUCUUUCACAAUGGGGGCAACCCUGAUGGAGCGACGCCGCGUGGAGGAUAAGGUCUUCGGAUUGUAAACUCCUGUCAUGCGUGAACAAGGUUGCUUGGUUAAUACCUGGGCAAAUUGUUGGUAACGCUAGAGGAAGAGACGGCUAACUCUGUGCCAGCAGCCGCGGUAAUACAGAGGUCUCAAGCGUUGUUCGGAAUCACUUGGCGUAAAGAGUGCGUAGGUGGCGUGGUAAGUCAGAUGUGAAAGCCCGGGGCUCAACAUCGGAACUGCAUCCGAUACUGCCAUGCUAGAGUACUGGAGAGGUGACUAGAAUUCUCGGUGUAGCAGUGAAAUGCGUAGAUAUCGGGAGGAAUACCAAAGGCGUAGGCAGGUCACUGGACAGUUACUGACACUGAGGCACGAAGGCCAGGGGAGCGAACGGGAUUAGAAACCCCAGUAGUCC
rnacentral:rRNA from 1 species